rnacentral:misc_RNA from 1 species
AAGAUUCUUCGGAUGUGCGCUCCGGCUGCACUCCGAAUCCCACCUCACACACCGUGCGCCUCGGGUGGGUUGACGCCCGCCCGCCUUUACACAUCACACUAGCGAACCCGAAUGUCUAAUACCAUAACUUAAUA